CCUACGGGUGGCAGCAGUGGGGAAUAUUGCACAAUGGGGGGAACCCUGAUGCAGCGACGCCGCGUGAGUGAAGAAGUAUUUCGGUAUGUAAAGCUCUAUCAGCAGGGAAGAAAAUGACGGUACCUGACUAAGAAGCCCCGGCUAACUACGUGCCAGCAGCCGCGGUAAUACGUAGGGGGCAAGCGUUAUCCGGAUUUACUGGGUGGAAAGGGAGCGCAGACGGCUGUGCAAGUCUGGAGUGAAAGGCCGGGGCCCAACCCCCGGACUGCUCUGGAAACUGUAAAGCUGGAGUGCAGGAGAGGUAAGCGGAAUUCCUAGUGUAGCGGUGAAAUGCGUAGAUAUUAGGAGGAACACCAGUGGCGAAGGCGGCUUACUGGACUGCAACUGACGUUGAGGCUCGAAAGCGUGGGGAGCAAACAGGAUUAGAUACCCUUGUAGUC
rnacentral:rRNA from 1 species